rnacentral:rRNA from 1 species
CAUGCAAGUCGAACGGAAACGAUGGAAGCUUGCUUCCAGGCGUCGAGUGGCGAACGGGUGAGUAAUGCUUGGGAAUCUGCCCAAUAGUGGGGAACAACUCGGGGAAACUCGGGCUAAUACCGCAUAAUCUCUUCGGAGGAAAGGGGGCCUCUACAUGUAAGCUCUCGCUAAUGGAUGAACCCAAGUCAGAUUAGCUUGUUGGUAAGGUAACGGCUUACCAAGGCUACGAUCUGUAGCUGGUCUGAGAGGAUGAUCAGCCACACUGGGACUGAGACACGGCCCAGACUCCUACGGGAGGCAGCAGUGGGGAAUAUUGCACAAUGGGCGAAAGCCUGAUGCAGCAAUGCCGCGUGUGUGAAGAAGGCUCUAGGGUUGUAAAGCACUUUCAAUGAGGAAGAAAAGUAUAAAGUUAAUAACUUUAUGCAUUGACUUAACUUAUACAAGAAGCACCGGCUAAUUCCGUGCCAGCAGCCGCGGUAAUACGGAAGGUGCAAGCGUUAAUCGGAAUUACUGGGCGUAAAGCGCGCGUAGGCUGUUAUCUAAGUCGAAUGUGAAAUCCUCGGGCUCAACCUGGGAACUGCAUCCGAAACUGGAUAACUAGAGUAUGGGAGAGGUAAGUAGAAUUUCCGGUGUAGCGGUGAAAUGCGUAGAUAUCGGAAGGAAUACCAGUGGCGAAGGCGGCUUACUGGACCAAUACUGACG